AUUGAACGCUGGCGGCAUGCCUUACACAUGCAAGUCGAACGGUAACGGGUCCUUCGGGAUGCCGACGAGUGGCGAACGGGUGAGUAAUAUAUCGGAACGUGCCCAGUAGUGGGGGAUAACUGCUCGAAAGAGCAGCUAAUACCGCAUACGACCUGAGGGUGAAAGGGGGGGAUCGCAAGACCUCUCGCUAUUGGAGCGGCCGAUAUCAGAUUAGCUAGGUGGUGGGGAAAAGGCCUACCAAGGCAACGAUCUGUAGUUGGUAUGAGAAGACGACCAGCCACACUGUAACUGAGACACGGCCCAGACUCCUACGGGAGGCAGCAGUGGGGAAUUCUGGACAAUGGGCGCAAGCCUGAUCCAGCAAUGCCGCGUGCAGGAAGAAGGCCUUCGGGUUGUAAACUGCUUUUGUCAGGGAAGAAAUCUUCUGGGCUAAUACCCCGGGAGGAUGACGGUACCUGAAGAAUAAGCACCGGCUAACUACGUGCCAGCCGCCGCCGUAA
rnacentral:rRNA from 1 species